UGAACGACUCUCGGCAACGGAUAUCUCGGCUCUUGCAUCGAUGAAGAACGUAGCGAAAUGCGAUACUUGGUGUGAAUUGCAGAAUCCCGUGAACCAUCGAGUCUUUGAACGCAAGUUGCGCCUGAAGCCAUUAGGCUGAAGGCACGUCUGCCUGGGCGUCCGUG
rnacentral:rRNA from 1 species